rnacentral:rRNA from 1 species
CCCUUAGAUGUUCUGGGCCGCACGCGCGCUACACUGAUGCAUGCAACGAGUUCUAUCCUGGACUGGAAAGUCUGGGUAAUCUGUGAACGUGCAUCGUGAUAGGGAUAGAUUAUUGCAAUUAUUAAUCUUGAACGAGGAAUUCCUAGUAAACGCAAGUCAUCAGCUUGCAUUGAUUACGUCCCUGCCCUUUGUACACACCGCCCGUCGCACCUACCGAUCGAAGGUAAUGAUGAGCCCUCAGGAUUGUGGCCUCGACGCGUCAGCGACUUGGCCGUGAGAAUCUGUGCAAAUCCCUACCUUUAGAGGAAGGUGAAGUCGUANCA